rnacentral:rRNA from 1 species
CCUACGGGGGGCUGCAGUGGGGAAUAUUGGUCAAUGGGCGCAAGCCUGACCCAGCAACGCCGCGUGAAGGAAGAAGGCUUUCGGGUUGUAAACUUCUUUUCUCAGGGACGAAGCAAGUGACGGUACCUGAGGAAUAAGCCACGGCUAACUACGUGACAGCAGCCGCGGUAAUACGUAGGUGGCAAGCGUUAUCCGGAUUUACUGGGUGUAAAGGGCGUGUAGGCGGGGACGAAAGUCAGAUGUGAAAACCACGGGCUCAACCUGUGGCCUGCAUUUGAAACUGUGUUUAUUGAGUACUGGAGAGGCAGACGGAAUUCGUGGUGUAGCGGUGAAAUGCGUAGAUAUUAGGAGGAACACCAGUGGCGAAGGCAGUCUGCUGGACAGCAACUGACGCUGAGGCGCGAAAGCGUGGGGAGCAAACAGGAUUAGAUACCCGUGUAGUC